AUGAAAAAAUAUUUAAUAAAGCUUCUGGUGUGAUAAAUAUGCUGUAAGCAAUCCAUGUAAAGAAAUGCUACAAUCUUCUCACUAUUGUACAAGUCGGAAGUCCCAGUAUAAAGCAACAUGAAGUAUGUACAGUGCAUUUCAGAAUGAAAACUGCUGUUAAUGGAACAAUAAAGCUUUGUGCAUACAAAUCAGCCUUGAGGGGGCGCUGUUGCAAAUAGCAACGCAAGACAGAAACCUGGAUGUUGGUUGCUAUUGCCAACAUUGCAACUUUUUCAUCAUUAAAUUGAGCCAUAAGGCCUAAUUUAAUAGAAACUCAUUGUGCAAUAUAUGAAUAAGAAAUCAAAAGCCGGUGUCCUAAACCAUCAAUUAGGUAAUCGGCGCAGUGCAGAGCGCUUCAGCAAUUCUGUUCAAAAUGAAAAAGGAUAGUACAGUACAGUCACCUCUAGGUGGCACUACAGAGACAGUUUUCUUCCCAUUUUCCAUACUGUCCUCGGGAAACAUUGCUCUAAAAACUUGCACUGUAUGCGCUGAGUCUCGAGUUACCUCCAGAGUGUCAUUUGGGAAUCAGAACAUACAUUCAGUAUGCAAACGGUAGAGGAAGGGGGUAUGACUACAGGAUCAGACUACAAAGAGUGUGUAGUCUGUUACCAUGGAGACACCUAGAUCUGCACUGGAGCUGUAGAAAUAGGUUUUUAUUAACUUUUUUUUUUUUUUUCAUUAAGAUGCAUUAGAACAUUACAAGGUUAUAAGGUAGACCCUCCUUCCACAUAUUUAAUGUAGUAAAGCCUAUAAUACUGCCCUUAGGAGGAUUUUCCUAGACGACAUUUAUUGCCUUGAUCUUGAUAUAUAUGUAAAGUUGCCAUCUUAUAGGAAGGCGGUUUCAUUUCUGUUGCCCAGGACCAUAUUAUAGCGGAGGUGCUGGGUUUUGUGACUCCUGGACGUUCCCCCCGAUACUCCUGUAUAACAGCAUGCAGUCAGCUA